rnacentral:ncRNA from 1 species
GAUCGGGAGCUUGCCGGUGGGACGGCAGGCAUGAAUGGAUCCUCCAUCCGCUUGUUUCAAAGCCCCCCGUGCCGUGGCCCCGACGGUGCGCGU